CAUUUUCAAUGGGAUAAAGUCGAGAGCCCGCUCAUUCAUGAGGUAUCAUGAUUUUAUAAAACAAAUCAAUAUUGUUUCAGUAAAGUGCAACCGCGCAGUUGAACGGUUAGAAAAAGUAAUCACCUAUUUCACAUUGAUGAGCGGACUAAUUAGUUUAGGGAAGAAAAAAAGAGGAAACAGUUUCACGAGACAGGAAUACUAUACUGAAGGGGACACUAGGAGUAAGGUUGGAGCGGGCGAGACGAAACGAUAGCAAACUGUUGCCAACAAUAAGAAUGGGGAUGGACGAACACAAUUGAAAUUUUAAUUCGGACACAAAUUCUGCAAUAGAAAUUGUGUCAAAUAUUACACUGGUUGACAAAUAGCAAAGUAAUAUGUAUGUUUUAAAAUCAAAUGUGAAAUAAAAACUGAUAAAACAGAAUCCAUCACACGUAUUGGUGUGUCAUGGAUUUCAAAGUGCCUUGCAUCAUUGGGAAGAAACUUUAAACGACUAAAAAUGUUACAUUUUCGACAUUAUUUUCUAUUUUGUUGUUAUUUAAAGUUGAAGGUAACUGGUAUGAUUUACUUAAAACAAAAUAAUGGUCAUAGUGGAAACAUAUAUGGGUGUGUUUGUGUGUGUUAUUUUCAUAAAUUAUAUGUAAUUCAUAUUGUUGCAGUAGUUUAUUACAUAGUAUAGAUAUUGACAAUUAUUCGCCAUGUGUUGGUGAUAAUGUCAUGUUAUAAAGUAUGUCGUUGUAUUUAGUGUAACAGUGUAUGCUUAUCUUUAGCAUUAAUUAUUUUGAAGAGACUAUAAAAAGUAAAUGAAGAACUAUUAUAUUAAAUGAUUAUGUAUGUACGAUUCUCCUCUUGUGUUGUGGUGGGAUGCAGCUGUGAAGAAUGUCAAGACGGAUUUCGAAUUAAGGAGUAUUGUAUUGUAUACACAACCUCAUUGCAUACAUUGUUUACUGUAAAUUACCACGGCCUAGAAUAAGUACAAGCAGGCAGUUAAUUAUGUUAAGCAAUCGUGAAAGUCACUUCUAUUAGAAACCCUGGCUGCUUAUGACUAUAUAUUAAAAAAGUAAUCCUUAAAAAUCUUACCUUUGUCAUGCUUUUGUUGAUAUUUUACUCCCCACACAGAUCUUAAAAAGUCACGUGGUAUAGGCACCGUGUUUAGCUGUAUUAUUUCUGGAGAGUGGGUUGCUUCAGAUUCAAUUAGGGCGGGCACUAUGUUCAGGUUUAUAAUGAAAAAAAAAAUGAAUGUAGAUGUUUUUUUGUAUGUAGCAAUAGUAAAAGGAAUUUAAUUGUGACAAUGCGGAAAUAGUCAGUACUUGGUGCAGUUAAGUGGUGGUCUUAUGGCGCAUUUAUUUAUAAUUACCAACACAGUUUGUUAAGUCAAAUAUUAGUUCAUAUGCAAUAAAUCUCAAAAAGGUU